CUGUAAUCAGUAAGCUAAUCACCCAAAGAAUUAAGAGUUUCUAGGCUCCUAACUUAGUUUUAUUUAUUUUGUAGCCAAAUACAAGAAGUUGGAACACUUACUAUGUUAAACUUGGGAGAAAAAAGCUAGACUUCUACAGUGAUGAAAAAGAAGCAUCCCAGAAUGGAACUCCAGUCUUAUCAGCCAGCAUAGCUGGAGCCAGGUGUGACAGGUUGAUGGAGUAUUCUAGGAAAGAACAUGCCUUCAGCUUAAGACUCUGGGAUGGAUCACAGUAUUACCUUGCAGCACCCUCUCAAAAGCUAAUGGAGGACUGGAUGCAAGCAUUAUAUAGUCACUUGGGUAAGUCUGCAUGACUCAGAUUUUGGAACAUUUCCCCUCAUUUCUACCCUAUGUGUCCUUGCAAGAUGCCAACAAAGUGCUUAUGGAUUAGUUCAAUAACUCAGCAAACUCAAACAAAAGGAAAAAUCAGUGCACAAAAUUGUCUCUGAUAGUGCCAUUGUCUGGAGUUCAGAAACAAAUCCUUCGUAAUCCUAUUUUUCUCUUCUCCUUACAAAGUUUUAAAUAUGG
rnacentral:lncRNA from 1 species